CCUACGGGAGGCAGCAGUGGGGGAUAUUGCACAAUGGGGGGAACCCUGAUGCAGCGACGCCGCGUGGGGGAAGAAGCGCCUCGGCGCGUAAAGCCCCGUCAGCAGGGAAGAAAAUGACGGUACCUGAAGAAGAAGCCCCGGCUAAAUACGUGCCAGCAGCCGCGGUAAUACGCAGGGGGCAAGCGUUAUCCGGAUUUACUGGGUGUAAAGGGGGCGCAGGCGGCGAUGCAAGCCAGGAGUGAAAGCCCGGGGCCCAACCCCGGGACUGCUGUUGGAACUGCGUGGCUGGAGUGCAGGGAGGGCAGGCGGAAUUCGUGGUGUAGCGGUGAAAUGCGUAGAUAUCAGGAAGAACACCGGUGGCGAAGGCAGCCUGCUGGAGUGCAACUGACGUUGAGGCCCGAAAGCGUGGGGAGCGAACAGGAUUAGAUACCCCGGUAGUC
rnacentral:rRNA from 1 species